rnacentral:ncRNA from 1 species
CGUUCUCAGGGCGGGGCGGAAAUCCCCACCGGCGGUAUGCGGCGAUUGCCGCGAGCCCGCGAGCGCCUUCCGCGAGGAAGGGUCAGCAGAUCAGGUGAGAUGCCUGAGCCGACGGUCAUAGUCCGGAUGAAAGAGAAC